rnacentral:rRNA from 1 species
UACGUAGGGGGCGAGCGUUGUCCGGAUUCAUUGGGCGUAAAGAGCGUGUAGGCGGCUAGAUAGGUCUGCUGUGAAAACCCGAGGCUUAACCUCGGGACGCCGGCGGAAACCAUCUGGCUAGAGUCCGGAAGAGGAGAGUGGAAUUCCUGGUGUAGCGGUGAAAUGCGCAGAUAUCAGGAAGAACACCCGUGGCGAAGGCGGCUCUCUGGGACGGUACUGACGCUGAGACGCGAAAGCGUGGGGAGCGAACAGG